UGAUCCAGCAGUUGGCCGAGGCCAACGAGCAGGAAGCCCACUUCGUGUCCGAGCUCGCAGCCAA
rnacentral:ribozyme from 1 species